GGCCCACCAAGGCGACGAUCAGUAGCCGGCCUGAGAGGGUGGACGGCCACAUUGGGACUGAGACACGGCCCAAACUCCUACGGAAGGCAGCAG
rnacentral:rRNA from 1 species